AUGGCAUUGAGAUUGUGCCCACGCCUGACAUCUUCACAACACCUGACACAACCUUUGUCAGCGGUGAUAACAUUUCUCCAUUCUCAUUCGACGUUGACACGAGCCUCCAGACUAUGUACCGGCUCAAUGUCGGGGGCCAAGACAUUUCCCCAAAAGGUGACUCGGGCUUUUACCGCUCCUGGGCCAAUGACGCCCCGUACAUAUCUGGUGGCUCUGGCGACCUUGUCGAAAGAUGAUAAUUUGACUAUCAGUUAUACAUCCAAAGUGCCGAAUUACACCGCCCCAGUUGAUGUCUAUGGUACAGCUCGGUCAAUGGGGCCAAUUCCACAGAUCAACCUGAAUUACAACCUUACAUGGAUUUUACCGGUUGAUGGGGGUUUCUUUUACCUCCUAAGGUUCCAUUUCUGUGAGAUUCAGCAUCCCAUUACCAAGGUGAAUCAGAGGGUGUUCUUCAUAUAUAUCAACAACCAGACAGCGGCACAGCAAAUGGAUGUCAUCGUCUUGAGCGGAGGAAUCGGUAGAACAUUAUACACAGACUAUGUUAUCAUGUCUACUGGUUCCGGUCAGGUAGACAUGUGGAUUGCACUUCACCCUGAUCUCUCAGUUAAACUAGUGUAUUUUGAUGCAAUACUGAAUGGUCUUGAGGUGUUCAAGCUACAGGGUUACGGAGUGAGCAAUCUUGCCGGGCACAAUCCUCCAAUCCCACAAAUUCCUGUGGAUCCUAGUUGGCUAUCUAGCGAUGCAAGAAAACCCGAAGGUGACAUGCAAGCAGCCAUCAGCGGAACUGCAGGUGGUUUUGCUUUCAUAUUGAUUGCCCUUUUCAGCACGUGUGUUAUCUGCAGACGGAAGAAGGCUGCAAAGAGUUCUUGCAAGACCGACUAUGGACAUCGUCCUACUGAACGCAAAAAGUCUACAUGUGAUAUCGUCCAUCGUUUCUCAUUUGCAGAAAUUCAAGUUGCCACCAAAGACUUUGAUGGAGCACUUAUCAUCGGCAGAGGCGGUUUCGGGAAUGUCUACAUCGGCGAUAUAGAUGGAGGGACAAAGGUGGCGAUCAAGCGAUGCAAUCAGAAAUCCCAACAAGGCUUUCAUGAGUUCCAGACUGAAAUCGAGAUGUUGUGCAAUUUCUGA
rnacentral:rRNA from 1 species